CCCAUAAUAGAAGCGAUGCCUCUAUAAAAUAUUUUAACUCAUUGAGAAACCCUAGUUUUCUGUUGGCGCGGGUGAGGUAGAACCCUUCCACGGUGGUGACUGCGCGAUGGGUGCCUACAAGUAUGUUUCAGAGCUAUGGCGCAAGAAGCAGUCUGAUGUCAUGCGCUUCUUGCAGCGGGUGAGGUGCUGGGAGUAUAGGCAGCAACCUUCCAUUGUUCGCUUGACAAGGUCGACCCGCCCUGACAAGGCUCGUCGCUUGGGCUUCAAGGCUAAGCAGGGCUAUGUGAUAUACCGUGUUCGUGUUAGGAGGGGUGGCCGAAAGAGGCCAGUUCCCAAAGGUAUUGUUUAUGGGAAGCCCACAAACCAGGGUGUUACCCAACUGAAAUUUCAGCGUAGCAAGAGGUCAGUUGCUGAGGAGCGAGCUGGACGGAAGCUGGGUGGACUUAGGGUCCUCAAUUCUUACUGGGUGAAUGAGGACUCUACUUAUAAAUACUUUGAGGUGAUUCUGGUGGAUGUGGCUCAUGCUGCUAUUAGAAAUGAUCCCAGAAUCAAUUGGCUCGCCAAUCCAGUGCACAAGCACAGAGAGCUGCGUGGGCUCACCUCUGCUGGGAAAAGCAACAGGGGUUUACGUGGCAGAGGACAUCUGUACCACAAAGCACGUCCAUCUCGCAGGGCAACCUGGAAGAGAAACAACACCCUGUCUCUCCGCCGUUACCGCUAAUUUCUGCUGUUAUCAUCUUAUUUUUGCUUCAUUUUCUGGAAUACUAUUUUGAGGACAUAGCUUUCCUUAAGAUUACGCAAAGCUUGCCGAAUCGUAUCCUCAUCUUGAUUGCAGUAUUUCAGGCAUAGCAAGCGCUGUGCAACAUGAUAUGCCUUUUGUAUUGAAUGAUGCUGUAAACAGUUGACUUCCAUCCUCUUAACUUCCUAAUGUCACCAGCAAGUGCACAUAAGAUGUUAGUACUGGUUUGUGUUUGACAAAUUUGUCUACAAAAACACUAUUAUUAUCAAUGGAUAUAAAAUAACACGCAUCAAACAAACUCUAA